rnacentral:snRNA from 1 species
AAAGGCAGGGGAGACACCAUAAUCAGGCAGGUGGUUUUCCCAGGGCGAGGCUCAUCCCCUGCUCUCUGGGUUUGCUGACCCCUGUGAUUUCCCCAAAUGCGGGAAACUCGACUGCAUAAUUUGUGAUAGUGGGGGACUGCGUUCGCACUCUCCUA